rnacentral:rRNA from 1 species
UGGGGAAUAUUGCACAAAGGGCGAAAGCCUGAUGCAGCGACGCCGCGUGAGGGAUGACGGCCUUCGGGUUGUAAACCUCUUUCAGUAGGGAAGAAGCGAAAGUGACGGUACCUGCAGAAGAAGCGCCGGCUAACUACGUGCCAGCAGCCGCGGUAAUACGUAGGGCGCAAGCGUUAUCCGGAAUUAUUGGGCGUAAAGAGCUCGUAGGCGGUUUGUCGCGUCUGCCGUGAAAGUCCGGGGCUCAACUCCGGAUCUGCGGUGGGUACGGGCAGACUAGAGUGAUGUAGGGGAGACUGGAAUUCCUGGUGUAGCGGUGAAAUGCGCAGAUAUCAGGAGGAACACCGAUGGCGAAGGCAGGUCUCUGGGCAUUAACUGACGCUGAGGAGCGAAAGCAUGGGGAGCGAACAGG